AAACAUCGCCUCUUGCAAACUUAAUAAAUAAGAGGUCCCGCCUGCCCUGUGACUAUUAGUUUAACGGCCGCGGUAUUUUGACCGUGCGAAGGUAGCGCAAUCACUUGUCUUUUAAAUGAAGACCUGUAUGAAUGGCAUAACGAGGGCUUAACUGUCUCCUCUUUCCAGUCAAUGAAAUUGAUCUUCCCGUGCAGAAGCGGGAAUAUAAACAUAAGACGAGAAGACCCUAUGGAGCUUUAGACACCAAGGCAGAUCAUGUUAAUAACCCUGGAUAAAGGACUAAACCAGAUGGAACCUGCCCUAAUGUCUUUGGUUGGGGCGACCGCGGGGAAUUGAAAAACCCCCACGUGGAAUGGGAGCACCCCUCCUACAGCUAAGAGCCACAGCUCUAGUAAACAGAAAUUCUGACCAGUAAGAUCCGGCAAUGCCGAUCAACGGACCGAGUUACCCUAGGGAUAACAGCGCAAUCCUCUUUUAGAGCCCAUAUCGACAAGGGGGUUUACGACCUCGAUGUUGGAUCAGGACAUCCUAAUGGUGCAGCCGCUAUUAAGGGUUCGUUUGUUCAACGAUUAAAGUCCUACGUGAUCUG
rnacentral:rRNA from 1 species